rnacentral:rRNA from 1 species
GUACGGGAGGCAGCAGUAAGGAAUAUUGGUCAAUGGAGGCAACUCUGAACCAGCCAUGCCGCGUGCAGGAUGACGGCCCUAUGGGUUGUAAACUGCUUUUAUACCAGAGAAAACCCGAGUACGUGUACUCGGUUGAUAGUAUGGUAAGAAUAAGCAUCGGCUAACUUCGUGCCAGCAGCCGCGGUAAGACGAAGGAUGCAAGCGUUAUCCGGAUUCAUUGGGUUUAAAGGGUGCGUAGGCGGACCUGUAAGUCAGUGGUGAAAUCUCUUUGCUUAACAAAGAAACUGCCAUUGAUACUGCAAGUCUAGAGUAUAGAUGACGUUGGCGGAAUAUGACAUGUAGUGGUGAAAUACUUAGAUAUGUCAUAGAACACCGAUUGCGAAGGCAGCUAACGAAACUAUAACUGACGCUGAGGCACGAAAGUGCGGGGAUCAAACAGGAUUAGAUACCCCGGUAGU